GACAGAGGUGCCGAGCGUUAGGCGGAAUCACUGGGCUUAAAGCGUGUGUAGGCGGAUCUGCAAGUACCUUGUGAAAUCCCACGGCUCAACCGUGGAACUGCUUGGUAUACUGCGGGUCUUGAGCCACCUAGGGGCAAGUGGAACAAACGGUGGAGCGGUGAAAUGCGUAGAUAUCGUUUGGAACGCCAAUGGUGAAAACAACUUGCUGGGGGUGUGCUGACGCUGAGACACGAAAGCCAGGGGAGCAAACGGG
rnacentral:rRNA from 1 species